rnacentral:sRNA from 1 species
AGAACAAGUUUAACAAAUUGAAAUGUAAUUUUCCAGAGCUCUGUGCAAUUACAAAUCUGUGUAAUUCGCGCAGUCAGUUUCAACUCUUAAUUUUAUGCGAAUUGUUUUUUUAAUUUUCAUAAUGAUGCAAUGAGCUAUGCCACUUCGGAACUGAACGAGAAUGUUUUUUGUGGGCUACGCAGGGGCCGUAGCCACAGUAAUUGCCAUGGCCUGGAACGCAGACAGGAGCUGGGAGCUUCGAGCAGGAUACGGAAAAUGCAAGACUUUGCUAACUCUUAGAAUCAGACACAGACCCAGCGUCACGCAGACAAUUAUGUUCUCGCAAAUAUGUAAAUGUGCAUAUAAAUGUGGGUAUGAGUGUGUACAGGUCCUUAAAUGUAUGCGCGGUUUUACCUUUUAUGUGAAAAGUUUGACACUUUAUGAGAAAGAGAAGUUCACUUAAACAGUUCAAGCGGAUAAGGGAGAAAAUUAACAUUUAUAUAUUUUUACGCUAAAUAGGAUCUACUAUGAUGUGUAGAAUGUUUUCGAGGUCUAGAGUGUACAGUGCUUGGACGAGA